UAUAGAGCUUAAAUAUUCAAGUCGACAAGUGCAGUAAGUAAUGUCUUAACUACUUAUAUAUUUUUGUUGGGGCGACAAAGAGAUAAAAAUAACACUCUUUUUUAAAAAAUAUUUAUAAAUAAAAUAACGAUCCUUAAAUUAAGAUAAAAGACUAAGUUACCUUA
rnacentral:rRNA from 1 species